rnacentral:lncRNA from 1 species
UGGGAACCACACCAGACUACUACCGGUGUCCAUGACGAAAGAUAGUGUUUGUGAGGGAGUGCCAAAGCUGAGAGACACAGAGUAACCCCCAUAGCUGUGAGCAAAGAGAGGGGUAUUGACUGAGGAGGUGUUUUUGCGGUGUUUCAGGUGGUGGGCUCUUGUCAAAGAUGCAGAGGUGAGGUGUGAGAGAAGCUGCCAUGGAUCUGAAGAUGGGUUCUUGGUGAACAGUGGUGUUAAAGGGAGAGUAAUGGUGGCGGGGUUCUUAUCUGGAGAUGAAUUUGCCAAGAGGAGCAGAGAGAACAGAGUAAAACCACAGAGGAUGAGGAUG